AGCUCCUGAAACUGAUAAUACACCAAACCCAGAACCCACAGUCCCUAGAGCUCCUUUUCUAAAUCAACUAAGGUCCAAUAAAAAAAUUAAAAUAUUUGGAUAAAAUUUUAGAGGUGUUUAAGCAAGUCCAAAUAAAUAUCCCUCUUUUAGACAUGAUUAAAUAAGUUCCAACCUAUGCUAAAUUUUUAAAAGAUCUUUGUACCAAAAAAAGAAUUACCAAUGUACC
rnacentral:lncRNA from 1 species